GUUCUUGUAGUUGAAUUAC
rnacentral:tRNA from 1 species